AUUGAACGCUGGCGGAAUGCUUUACACAUGCAAGUCGAACGGCAGCACGGACUUCGGUCUGGUGGCGAGUGGAGAACGGGUGAGUAAUGUAUCGGAACGUGCCCAGUCGUGGGGGAUAACGUAGUGAAAAUUACGCUAAUACCGCAUACGAUCUAUGGAUGAAAGCGGGGGAUCGCAAGACCUCGCGCGAUUGGAGCGGCCGAUAGCAGAUUAGGUAGUUGGUGGGGUAAAGGCCCACCAAGCCAACGAUCUGUAGCUGGUCUGAGAGGACGACCAGCCACACUGGAACUGAGACACGGUCCAGACUCCUACGGGAGGCAGCAGUGGGGAAUUUUGGACAAUGGGCGAAAGCCUGAUCCAGCCAUUCCGCGUGCAGGAUGAAGGCCCUCGGGUUGUAAACUGCUUUUGUACAGAACGAAAAGGUUUCUACUAAUACUAGGAGCUCAUGACGGUACUGUAAGAAUAAGCACCGGCUAACUACGUGCCAGCAGCCGCCGUAA
rnacentral:rRNA from 1 species